GACGAACGCUGGCGGCGUGCUUAACACAUGCAAGUCGAGCGGUAAGGCCCUUUCGGGGGUACACGAGCGGCGAACGGGUGAGUAACACGUGGGUGACCUGCCCUCAGCUCUGGGAUAAGCCCGGGAAACUGGGUCUAAUACCGGAUAUGACUCCAUGACGCAUGUUGUGGGGUGGAAAGCCUUGUGCGGCUGAGGAUGGGCCCGCGCUAUCAGCUUGUUGGUGGGGUGAUGGCCACCAAGGCGACGACGGGUAGCCGGCCUGAGAGGGCGACCGGCCACACUGGGACGUGAGAUACGGCCCAGACUCCUACGGGAGGGCAGCAGUGGGGAAUCUUGCGCAAUAGGGCGAAAGCCUGACGCAGCGACGCCGCGUGAGGGA
rnacentral:rRNA from 1 species